rnacentral:misc_RNA from 1 species
UAUACGUUUAUAAUGACAUGUCGGCACAAAUCAUUAUCGUAGUUUAACUGUGUACUGGGCUAACUUCCACAGAUCUUUUCAAUAAAAUGAAUUUGAUUAAAUAAAUUCUUCAGAUAUUUUAAUUUGUUCAAGUGUAAAAUUGGAAUGUUACCUGAUAUCUGAGUGCCGUUUCUACAAUAAAAGUCAGUGGAAACACGACAGAACUUAUCAUAAUUGAGGAAGGCGGUGUUGAAACGUUGACGAUCAUCGUGUGGUGUGUGGGUGGGAUACUCCUUAUCACCCUCCUAGCACUGCUCGGUCGAAUCAUCCUGGCCAAGAAGAAACAUCCAUUUGAGCAAUUCGAUUAUCUAGAGCAUGUUCCAGAAAUUCACAGCAAUAAUUUGUUUCGAAUUCGAGUCGAUGAAAGACGGCCUGAAUCAACAUUAUCACUGUCACGUGACACCGUGGACCUGGUUCCCGGAUCUGAUGCGGCAGUAACAGUUACUCCAGUAUUAAACAGAACACCUCAUGUGGAAGUUUGCACAGGAAAUCCACAAGUCAGGAGUGAAAAUCCUCAUCAUAUUGAACAAAGACAAAUUAAUACACGCAAUUUACACUUUGGAGAACAUUUGAAUAAUUCACCACCAAGAACUGCUCAGAUUUUACGUACAGACGAUACCGGUUCCCGGGCAACAAUCAAUGGUUAUAUUAUCAGGCCACCACCAUAUAGAGAAGUUAUCAAUUCUUCCAACGGAAUACCUUCAGUAAUUGUUGCUAGAGACCAAAGCAUUGUUGUCGCAAGAGACCAAAGACAAAUGAUCACAUCCAGACGACAAAUGUUUUCGUUGUAAAAGCGUUUAUUUUAAAAAAAAAUCGAACUGUUUUCGAGCUUACAUAAUCAGACAGUAAGUUAACAAGAUAAAACAAAACAAGUUACCGCCGGAAGAUGUAUCACACCUGUAACACAUGGAUGAUUAACCGCUAAAUAUGGUGCUAAACUAUUUUUGCAUGUUAUUGUGUAUAUUCUAGUCCCGUAAUUCAGCCAGUUUGGUUUUGUUUGCCAGUUGUAUAGCACAUGUAUUUAUUUUGAAGCGUAAAACACGGUUGUGCGUAUUUCUGUUUACGCAAGAUUUUAAUCUAGUUCUCAGCACGCACAACUAUUUUAAAGAAAAAACAAUAAUUCGUUUUACCAUCUUCAUUUUGUCACCUACAUUUAAAGUAGUGAUUAUUUCCGAAAAUAAUAUUUAGGAUGCGCCGUAUAGUCCGUGUCUUUGACCGAAUGAUCUACGCCGGAUGCGCCGUAGUCCGUGUCUAGCGCCGCAUGGACUAAGUGCAUCAUACAUACCGUGCCUGGGGCCGUAUGAACUAUGGUGCGCCGUACAUACCAUGUCUUGGACAAAAUUGUUAGUCUUAUAGUUGUUUACAAUCGUAGAUUUUUUCUGCUCGAUAAAGCAACAGAUUAUUCACAUUAGUGAAUAAAUGAUUAUUGUUAUACAUGUAUGAAUAAAUAAUAAGGAAAAUUUAGACCAUUUUUUCCACAGAUGUCAGUACUUUUUUUCGUAUAAUCAUGUAUUUGAAUAUGUAUUUUUACAUGUUUAUUUUGUACAUUUUAUUUUAUGUCAGCUUACCUCAUAUUUAGUGACAGUAUGUAUUUUGUUUUAAAAGUCUUAAGUUACCGCCUAAUGUUAGAAUGAUGAGAAAAUGUAACAGCGUAAUACUACAUGUAAACAUUUCUUAGAUGCUCAAUUGCUGUGUAUCAAAUAUACACUUUUAUUAUGUGUACACCUACGAAUUUUCUGUCUCAAAAACAGCAUGUUUUUUCACUAACUAAUACAAAACCCUGUAUUCAACUCCCAUUGUGUAAUGAAAAAUAUUCAGUCAGAGAUGUAAUGUCGGGGUCUAUUCAAUCGGAAAUGACGUAAUGUUUGGGGUCUCGAGUCAAUGCGCCGAAACAUUCACUGUUUCAAAACGAAUGUUUAGUUUUAUUUAUCUACAAUUGUUUUAAAUUUUGACUGCUGUUACACUAGAAAUAGGUAUAUGUAUAUAAUAAAAGAUUCAUUAAAGCAGUACCUUGAAUUGCAUUGCGAUGAUGCGCAUUCGGCUCUUCUUGCUCAUACUUGGCAUAAUCCACUCGAGCCGAUUACAACAAUGCAGAUCAAGGUUCUGUUAGAAUAACCGUGUAAUAUAUACAUAUCCAGACAACAGUUUAUACUUAAAAAAUCUGCAACGAAAACAAAAACAACCACACACAAACAAAUAGAUCUAGAAAGGGACCAGUUUCGAAUUGAAACCCCAUUGCUCAGUCUAUAAAUGAGCCGUGCCAUGAGAAAACCAACAUAG